UACGAAGGGGGCUAGCGUUGCUCGGAAUCACUGGGCGUAAAGGGUGCGUAGGCGGGUUUUUAAGUCAGGGGUGAAAUCCUGGAGCUCAACUCCAGAACUGCCUUUGAUACUGAAGAUCUCGAGUCCGGGAGAGGUGAGUGGAACUGCGAGUGGUAGAGGUGAAAUUCGUAGAUAUUCGCAAGAACACCAGUGGCGAAGGCGGCUCACUGGCCCGGUACUGACGC
rnacentral:rRNA from 1 species